CGGUUAGUGCCGGCUUAAACUUCGGGCAAUCGUUUGGGUACCUGUCUGAACCCCAAUACGAAAGCUCGCAACAACAAUUUCCCCGAUAUUAGGGCCUCCGCCCGCGGCAAGGGACUUAUGCUCCUCGCCCAACUACAGCUCCGUACCAAAAAUUCCCAGCGCUAGGCCGAGCAGCACAAAGUGGGAGGCGUAAAAGAUUGGCUCAUCAGUCGCUUUGCGGGCGCGAGCCACUUAUGUGUCACGGACCCGCGAUAUAUUGGAGGCCGUCCAAUUCUGCGGAAAUUAUUAAAGCUAUGUAAACGGUCAGCCAAUUUCUACCCGAAAUAUAGAUCUGGGUCUCGACCUAUUUUCGUUUCCCCAUACGAAGUGCCGAGGAGUGCCCAGAUGUGAAGCCGGCGGCAACGACUGUCGUUUUUUUUUUAUAUCCAUCAGUGUAACCGCUGAUUCCUAUUUUUAUGCUAUAGUGUCAUUAGUGUAAUUAGCUUAGUAAAUUUCUUUUGGUUGUGUUUUUAAAUUCUGUUCGGAAGAAAUAGCAAGUGGAAUGUGUGACAGGGCGAAAGUGAACAACGGUUAAACGGCAGAGGAGAGCGUGAGUUUUUUUUUGUAAAAGUAUUUCUCCAGCUUUCGUUUUAGGAACGUUGCCGCAGUCCAUGGAAGCGCUUUCAUCGCUGUUUCAACGCAUUUAUUAAAACAAAUCAAAGGAAGGCCUCAGGGGCUUCGUCGCUUAAGAGAGGCUGUGCGCUCUCCCUUAUGCCCUGUUGGCAACCAUAAGCGCUUACGCCGCGCAUAAGAACCAGCCCUCUUAAGAACAAGGCACAAAAGGGAAGAUGCGAGGCUGGUCGCUCUGACGUUCUUUUAUGCUUUCUACUUGCGGUUGCUUUCGCUAAUGCACUUGAAUAACUGACCUGCCAUAACGAUCGCGGCGCACAGUUUUUACAUUCCCUUUUGCAUAUUUAUUUAUUAUUAUUAGAUAAUAUGUACCCUUCCCUUCUUUCAAUUUGUAAUUUAAAUUUCAAUCUAAAGUGUAUUAUUAAGAGUUAAUCAUUUAUUAGUUUACUAGUGCGAUGCAUGUGCUAUUGCUCAAUAUGAAAUAUAGGAUUUAACAUGAA